AUUGAACGCUGGCGGCAUGCUUUACACAUGCAAGUCGAACGGUAACAGGCCUUCGGGUGCUGACGAGUGGCGAACGGGUGAGUAAUGCAUCGGAACGUACCCAGAGGUGGGGGAUAACGCAGCGAAAGCUGUGCUAAUACCGCAUGUGAUCUGAGGAUGAAAGCGGGGGACCGAGCAGCAAUGUUUGGCCUCGCGCCUUUGGAGCGGCCGAUGUCGGAUUAGCUGGUUGGUGGGGUAAAGGCCUACCAAGGCGACGAUCCGUAGCUGGUCUGGGAGGAGGACCAGCCACACUGGAACUGAGACACGGCCCAGACUCCUACGGGAGGCAGCAGUGGGGAAUUUUGGACAAUGGGCGCAAGCCUGAUCCAGCAAUGCCGCGUGCGGGAAGAAGGCCUUCGGGUUGUAAACCGCUUUUGGCAGGAACGAAACGGUGUCCGCUAAUACCGGGCGCUAAUGACGGUACCUGCAGAAUAAGCACCGGCUAACUACGUG
rnacentral:rRNA from 1 species